rnacentral:rRNA from 1 species
GACGAACGCUGGCGGCGUGCCUAAUACAUGCAAGUCGAGCGGAUCUAAGAGGGAGCUUGCUCCCGAUUGGGUUAGCGGCGGACGGGUGAGUAACACGUAGGCAACCUGCCUGCAAGAUCGGGAUAACAUUCGGAAACGAAUGCUAAUACCGGAUACGCAGUUUGAUCGCAUGAUCGGGCUGAGAAAGGCGGAGCAAUCUGCCGCUUGUAGAUGGGCCUGCGGCGCAUUAGCUAGUUGGUGGGGUAACGGCUCACCAAGGCGACGAUGCGUAGCCGACCUGAGAGGGUGAUCGGCCACACUGGGACUGAGACACGGCCCAGACUCCUACGGGUGGCAG